GGUUAAGCGACUAAGCGUACACGGUGGAUGCCCUGGCAGUCAGAGGCGAUGAAGGACGUGCUAAUCUGCGAUAAGCGUCGGUAAGGUGAUAUGAACCGUUAUAACCGGCGAUUUCCGAAUGGGGAAACCCAGUGUGUUUCGACACACUAUCAUUAACUGAAUCCAUAGGUUAAUGAGGCGAACCGGGGGAACUGAAACAUCUAAGUACCCCGAGGAAAAGAAAUCAACCGAGAUUCCCCCAGUAGCGGCGAGCGAACGGGGAGCAGCCCAGAGCCUGAAUCAGUGUGUGUGUUAGUGGAAGCGUCUGGAAAGGCGCGCGAUACAGGGUGACAGCCCCGUACACAAAAAUGCACAUGCUGUGAGCUCGAUGAGUAGGGCGGGACACGUGGUAUCCUGUCUGAAUAUGGGGGGACCAUCCUCCAAGGCUAAAUACUCCUGACUGACCGAUAGUGAACCAGUACCGUGAGGGAAAGGCGAAAAGAACCCCGGCGAGGGGAGUGAAAAAGAACCUGAAACCGUGUACGUACAAGCAGUGGGAGCACGCUUAGGCGUGUGACUGCGUACCUUUUGUAUAAUGGGUCAGCGACUUAUAUUCUGUAGCAAGGUUAACCGAAUAGGGGAGCCGAAGGGAAACCGAGUCUUAACUGGGCGUUAAGUUGCAGGGUAUAGACCCGAAACCCGGUGAUCUAGCCAUGGGCAGGUUGAAGGUUGGGUAACACUAACUGGAGGACCGAACCGACUAAUGUUGAAAAAUUAGCGGAUGACUUGUGGCUGGGGGUGAAAGGCCAAUCAAACCGGGAGAUAGCUGGUUCUCCCCGAAAGCUAUUUAGGUAGCGCCUCGUGAAUUCAUCUCCGGGGGUAGAGCACUGUUUCGGCAAGGGGGUCAUCCCGACUUACCAACCCGAUGCAAACUGCGAAUACCGGAGAAUGUUAUCACGGGAGACACACGGCGGGUGCUAACGUCCGUCGUGAAGAGGGAAACAACCCAGACCGCCAGCUAAGGUCCCAAAGUCAUGGUUAAGUGGGAAACGAUGUGGGAAGGCCCAGACAGCCAGGAUGUUGGCUUAGAAGCAGCCAUCAUUUAAAGAAAGCGUAAUAGCUCACUGGUCGAGUCGGCCUGCGCGGAAGAUGUAACGGGGCUAAACCAUGCACCGAAGCUGCGGCAGCGACGCUUAUGCGUUGUUGGGUAGGGGAGCGUUCUGUAAGCCUGUGAAGGUGUG
rnacentral:rRNA from 1 species